rnacentral:lncRNA from 1 species
UAACACAUAAAGAAAGAAAAACUCUACCAGAGGUUAUAUGAUUAAGACCAAUGUGAAAAUAUCGAGGAAAAACAUGGUCUUGUAGGGCUAGGUUUAAACCAGAAUUUAUAGAAAGAUUAACAGAUUCCCUAGGUGUAGCUAAAAGUUCAUUAUCUUCUGGAUUAAAAGAUAGGACCUCAGCUAUAGAAAAGGGUUGGUUUUGACCUAUUGCAAUCAACUCCGGACACAGAUCAUAAUUAGGGGCAAAGAAAGAACUUGUUGACUCCCAUGGUCUAUGGCUGGUCUCCGAAGGUGCAAAAAAUUCAAUAAUAGGUGUGGAAUUUAAGUUAUCCAUAAAGAUAGAAAAAAUAAAAAGAUAAAAGAAUAAAAGUAUAAUACAAGAUAAUAGCAAGACUUAAAGUUAUCUCAGUAAACCGUCUUUCUCCUCGGCAACGGCGCCAGAAAUGCUUGUUGAUAUUUGGUAACGCCAUCAGGAAAUGAUCCGCAAGCGCACGGAUAUCGGUGAGCACUUCACCCGGGAGGUUAUCUAGAGUAUCGUAUUUAUAUUUUUACCACUGGGAGAAAGCGUGCAUCUGACUAACCAAAUCUAUUGCUACUACCCUUUAGGCUACAAAGAAUGUGACUCGAUGUGAGUGAUGUAUAGAGAAGACUACAACCGUAAUCUCGUUCUAACCUUGGUAAGGAUGAUCUACUGUUCUGUUGGGGAGGCUCACGGAAUCUAGACACCACAGAGGAUGUUCAACCCGC